CCCUUAGAUGUCCGGGGCUGCACGCGCGCUACACUGAAGGAAUCAGCGUGCUAAAACCAUUGUCGAAAGGCAUUGGUAAACCCAUUAAAAUCCUACGUGAUUGGGAUCGGGAAUUGCAAUUAUUUCCCUUGAACGAGGAAUUCCCAGUAAGUGUGGGUCAUAAGCUCGCGUUGAUUACGUCCCUGCCCUUUGUACACACCGCCCGUCGCUGCCCGGGACUGAGCCGUUUCGAGAAAAGCGGGGACUGCUGCUGUCGGGGCUUUCGGGCCUUGGCUUCGGUGGAAACCGCUUUAAUUGCAGUGGCUUGAACCGGGCAAAAGUCGUAACA
rnacentral:rRNA from 1 species